rnacentral:rRNA from 1 species
UGCCGCGUGUGUGAAGAAGGCCUUAUGGUUGUAAAGCACUUUAAGCGAGGAGGAGGCUACUGAAGCUAAAACCUUCAGAUAGUGGACGUUACUCGCAGAAUAAGCACCGGCUAACUCUGUGCCAGCAGCCGCGGUAAUACAGAGGGUGCAAGCGUUAAUCGGAUUUACUGGGCGUAAAGCGCGCGUAGGCGGCUAAUUAAGUCAAAUGUGAAAUCCCCGAGCUUAACUUGGGAAUUGCAUUCGAUACUGGUUAGCUAGAGUGUGGGAGAGGAUGGUAGAAUUCCAGGUGUAGCGGUGAAAUGCGUAAAGAUCUGGAGGAAUACCGAUGGCGAAGGCAGCCAUCUGGCCUAACACUGACGCUGAGGUGCGAAAGCAUGGGGAGCAAACAGGAUUAGAUACCCUGGUAGUCCAUGCCGUAAACGAUGUCUACUAGCCGUUGGGGCCUUUGAGGCUUUAGUGGCGCAGCUAACGCGAUAAGUAGACCGCCUGGGGAGUACGGUCGCAAGACUAAAACUCAAAGGAAUUGACG